GCUUACGGCCAUACCAGCCUGGGUACGCCCGAACUCGUCUGAUCUCGGAAGCUAAGCAGGGUCGGGCCUGGUUAGUAUUUGGAUGGGAGACCGCCUGGGAAUACCAGGUGCUGUAAGCA
rnacentral:rRNA from 1 species